CACGUAGGGCGCAAGCGUUGUCCGGAAUUAUUGGGCGUAAAGAGCUCGUAGGCGGUCUGUUGCGUCCGCUGUGAAAACUCGGGGCUUAACCCCGAGCCUGCAGUGGAUACGGGCAGACUAGAGGUAGGUAGGGGAGAAUGGAAUUCCCGGUGUAGCGGUGAAAUGCGCAGAUAUCGGGAAGAACACCCGUGGCGAAGGCGGUUAGCUGGGCAGUUGCUGACACUGAGGCGCGACAGCGUGGGAGCAACAGGG
rnacentral:rRNA from 1 species